CUUGAACUUCGUAUAACACUACCAAAAUGGCGGAUAAAGCUCGCUUCGACACACGACGAACAGUUUGUGAAGACUGAGACCAACUAUACUCUGGAAGGUCUGCCGUCCGCAGACAUGUGGUUGUUCAUCACGACAGACCAGGCGGGUACCAGUGCACUGACUGUGGACGAGUGUUUUCAACUCGAAGUCAUCUCCAAGGACACCGCGUUUCCGGAUUCAUUGGGAUGAAUGAUCUAGUUUUUAUAUAUUGUUUAAUAAAUCGACAUUAUAAUGCAA
rnacentral:lncRNA from 1 species